rnacentral:rRNA from 1 species
UACGAAGGGGGCUAGCGUUGCCCGGAAUCACUGGGCGUAAAGCGCACGUAGGCGGAUUGUUAAGUCAGGGGUGAAAUCCUGGAGCUCAACUCCAGAACUGCCUUUGAUACUGGCGAUCUCGAGUCCGGGAGAGGUGAGUGGAACUGCGAGUGUAGAGGUGAAAUUCGUAGAUAUUCGCAAGAACACCAGUGGCGAAGGCGGCUCACUGGCCCGGUACUGACGCUGAGGUGCGAAAGCGUGGGGAGCAAACAGG